CGAGCGGGGACAGGAGGCGCGGGCGGGGGCCUGGCCUGGGGCCGCAGAGCGGGGCCGGGCCCCGGCGGGGAAAGCCGGUGCUGUCACAUCGCUGAAAUCACAAGAUUGCUGUUUUCCAGUUAAAGAUUUCAAGAGUUAUCUGCUUUCUGGAUCUGAAUGGGAUUCUUCUGCAUCAGAACAGUUGGUAACUUAUUCUUGGGAGAUGAAGAAAGUCAUGUUGCAGUUCCUUUGAGAAGUUUAAGGACUUCAGCAGUUGCAGACACUCCUUUCUAUUUAAAUGCAUGUCACCGGUUAAUCUAAAUAUCUGGUGAGCUGUACUGUUUGCAAAGAGUAAAGAGGUUCUGUGUCUGGUUGAUUAUGAUGACACACACUGUGGGAAAAGCUGAGUGUAGCUGACUCCAGCGGCGCGUUAACCCAGGAUGCAACAGCUGACUUCAUCUUGUGUUUCAUAGGCAACUCAGGACAACAGGUCAUUUCAGAAAGUUGUCUGUCACUGUGCUAACUUGAAGAGGUGACCAUUUGCUGUGAGUUAAUGAUAAAAGUAUACACUGUUUCUUAGACAUCCCUGUGUUAUGGAGCUGUGCUGGAUUUUGAAGAGUUUUUUUGUUUUGUUUUGUUUUGUUUUUUGGAGGAGAGGUUGAUUUCUGGCUGUUGAUAAAACUUCCAUAACUGAAAAAGUACAAGGAACUGGUAUGUUAAAGUCUUAAGUUCCUAGGUCUACAGUCUGCUGUGCAACUGGAUAUUUCUUUGAGUUUAUUUCAGACCCCAGAAAUAACUGGACCUUUAGGAACCUCAGGCUGAACUUGACGAAUGUCUCAAGAUAGUGUAGAAAUAAAUGGAACAGUUUCAGUAAGAUGCACAGAUAUCUUCUCAAAUUCUUUCCUUUUGAUGGGCACAUGUGCUUGUUAAACUACUGACUUGCCUUAGUUUUAAGAACUUUUGUUUUUCAUUGCUCUUCCCACAAGAUAACAAAUAAGGUUAAUCACAAACAACUAAGUAUUCAUAGAUGUUAUUACUUAACAGGAGGCCUUUGCCUGCAUUCCUUUGGGGGUAAGAAGUUGUACAAUAAUGAAUGCUUUGUUGAUUUGAAUGUAAAAAUAAAUGAAUAAAGUUAUAAUUGUUUCUCCAUCA